GGGCCCGCACAAGCGGCGGAGCAUGUGGAUUAAUUCGAUGCAACGCGAAGAACCUUACCUGGGUUUGACAUACGCCCUGCCGCCUCAGAGAUGGGGCUUCUUUUGGGGGUGUACAGGUGGUGCAUGGCUGUCGUCAGCUCGUGUCGUGAGAUGUUGGGUUAAGUCCCGCAACGAGCGCAACCCUCGUCCUAUGUUGCCAGCACGCCCUUCGGGGUGGUGGGGACUCAUGGGAGACUGCCGGGGUCAACUCGGAGGAAGGUGGGGAUGACGUCAAGUCAUCAUGCCCCUUAUGUCCAGGGCUUCACGCAUGCUACAAUGGCCGGUACAAAGGGCUGCGAUGCCGUAAGGUGGAGCGAAUCCCAAAAAGCCGGUCUCAGUUCGGAUUGGGGUCUGCAACUCGACCCCAUGAAGUCGGAGUCGCUAGUAAUCGCAGA
rnacentral:rRNA from 1 species